GUGGAAGAUAGCUUGCAACUUCACAUGGUCCUAGUUAAAAUGCCCUUUGAGCCACUGGCAGUUUAUAGGAACAGUGGUGUCUCCUGGGUUCUAACUGCAGUCAUUAUUACAAUGCUUACAAAAGGAGGCAGUACUGGCAACCAUCCUCAAGCUGUUGUUUUUAUUCCUAGGACACAAAAUGAACUUUUGUAAUGGAAUCAAGGAAAUGGAAAUAACAAAAACUAUUGACACAAUUGACUUGCAGUGUUCAGUAAGUGGAAAAAUUACUGAAAGUUGUGUGAGCAGCCACCUCUGCGCAUGCAGCAUGUGCUCAGCCCUACCUCCUAUCUGUACAGGUUGGAAAAAUGCCUCCAUGGGCACUCUGCUUCCAUAGCAGCACAGUCCUGGUCUCCCAUCUCCCUGCCAGGCUGAGGACCACGCCCAUUGGUUUCACGUAGAUCAGGGCAUGCCUCAUAGAAAAUGAGAAUCCCAUGCCCAAUGUGUUGAUCAUGAGAAGAAAUGAGACUUUAGAAAGAACUGAGCAUAGCCAGGAUCUACAAGUGAAGUAUAAACUCUGUUUUUAACGGUAAGGUUGAAAAGAAUAAGUCCAAGCACUGCAUAAGGGAUGUUGAUCUUAAGUUUGCGCUAGGUGACCAAGAAGGUAAGUGCAUCUGUAAAUACCUUCUCUGAAUGGUUUUGUGCUCUUUUCUGAACCAGCCUGCAAUAAUUCUUGUUCAAGAAAGAUGUCCUCCAUGACCCAGUGCAGCCUGUUUUACCCCUGGCUAAUUUUUAGUGAUGUGUCUGUCUCAGAGAGAAUAGAAUUAAUGCUUUCCAAAUUGACCACUACUGAGAGAGGUCAUGAAAUUACAGACUGGCAAAGAACGCUGUAAAUCAGAAAGUCAAUAAAUUAUCAUGUGGGAGAAAAACUUUAUUCCUA
rnacentral:lncRNA from 1 species